UUCAAACCCGCUGCCGGAGCCCCUGCUGGCCACGUCGGGCCACUGCUAGCCCCUGCGCUGGACACUGCUAGAGCAGCAGUGGUUGGGGCUGGAGGGGGAGAAACUGGGGAGGAAGGAGGGGGGAGGGGGCGGUCUGGUAGCUGCUUUCCCCCCUCUAUGAGGACAGAUUGGACCGGGGCUGGGGAAGACACGGGGAGAGACUUAAAGGUUUGGUUUUUUUUUUGUCUUUUUUUUUUCUUUGCAAUCCGGUGGAAGAAACUUCCGCCGCAGCCUGAGUGUUGGUCCUAGGAGGGGGACUCCCCUGGCGGGCGCCAGGGCCCUCCGCAUCUUGUGGCGGAAUGACAGUUGCCGAUGGUAAUUUUUUUGUAAUGUUACAACCCCACCGAGGCACCCUUCCCCUUCCUCUGUCUGUGCAGAGUUUGUUGAAUGUUCGUGUUAUUUAAAACAGAGCGAGAGAAAAAGCAGAGAAUGAUGCAACCCUUUAAACAUGGCUGGGAAUGCUGCGUACACAUGAUGCAAUCUCGUGUAACUGUCAGUCAUGGAUUGAGUAAUCUGUUAAAGAUGUUCCUGCGGUUUUUUUUAUUAUAAAGAAUAAUUCUAUUUCUAUACGAAAAUACAUAUGUAUAUUUUGGGAUCUAUAGACAUUCUUGCUACAUUUGAAGCAUUAAUGAACAAUUUUAAUAAACUUUAUGGCUAGGAAAAAAGAAAGAAAGGAAACUUGUUUUAUUUUAAAGGCACUUUAACGCCAGAAUGAAAUCAGUUCAAAUGCCAGCUAGAUCUGGCUGUGUCAGGAAUCAUUUUGUUGGCCUUUUGACUCUCUCUGUGACUCAGCAAAAAAGAAAAAAAAAAUGAGAGAACCAGAGAAGACCAGAUGUGGGAACCACAGCCAGUUCCCUCUUGCUGCCUCACUUAAUUUCCUCUAACCCCUUGAGUUAAAUUCUGCUUGGGUUUUUCUGAAAUACUAAUAACUCUCCCCAUUCAAACCAUGAAAAAUGUUUGACAAAGUCUCUCCAAGCAAAGGACAAGAUUAAAGCAGGGGAGAGGUUGGAGGAAAGAAAAAGAGAAGGAGAAAGCUUGAAAUAAGCUUCUGUGGGUUGAGGAUGCGCAUGGAGUAACUAAAUACAUCUUGGGGUGUGAUCCUGGAGUCCAUAUACAAGCAAAACUCCCAUUGAAGUAAAGAACACAAUCAGACCCAUGAGCACAAUCUCAUCUCCUUUGAAAAAUGCAUGGACCAGUCACUCAUUUUUUCCAAGUUAUUGUUAAAAUGGAUUAUUGAUUUCUAAUAGGUUGCCCUUGCUGUCCCAAUGGGGUUGGCCUGGGGAAGGAGACAACAGAAUUUCCCCAUCUUUAGAAAAAAAAUAUUCCUAAUGAGAAUAUCAAAUCCUUGCCAUAGACAUUCUGUUCCUAAAGGGCUCUAAAUUCCACUUCUGAACCUGCUAUGCCAUGUGGAUUCCACAGUAUUUAGUUCCACAGCAGAAAAUCCAUUCCUCAAAAUGCAUUGUUUAAAUGAAUAUAAUUUAAAAUACCAACAAGUUUUAACUUUUAAAUACGUUAUCUGUCAAUCUGUAUUCCUUGUAGCACAUUUGUCACUGCAGCAUCUGUGUGUUACAGAUACUUUAGCAAUAGUUUUCUGCAUUGCUUUGCUGAUGUUAUGUGCUGUUGCUUCAUGUUCUAAAUAUGCUUAAUUUGCAUUGCCCUCCAUUUGCAGCAGUAGGAGUUAUUGUUAAAAAGUACCCUUGUUUGUGUCUGCCUUCAUUUUUUCCUGUGUCACACUAAUAAACACAAUCUUACAAAUUACAAACAUGCACAAAA